rnacentral:lncRNA from 10 species
AUGUUAAGAAUUAAGUGGUUUUUCAGGGACACAUAAAAGCUUUUAAAAGUAUUUUAUAUUUAUUUUAAUUACUCCGAUAAAUUUGUAGAGAGUGGCGUAUAUGCUUGUUUCUUUGGGGAGAGACAGACUUUGAGGGAGUUUUGAGGAACAGGAAGUGGUGACCUCCUGAACAUGUGUAUGUAAAUACUGAAAUUUCUCUUGCCUCAGCUGUGUUGUUAUUGGGAGGUUAUGUUUUGUUGAACAUGGAGUCCUCAUUAAUAUGCCCCUGUGUUAGACCAAGUGCAGUUCCACAGAAACCAUAUUAUAGUUCAGCUCAUAUUUACAAAAUAAUCCUUCUGGUCUUUGCAGUGGUCCUUUUCCAACACACCUGGGAUAUUCUUUCAUUGUACUUCUCUGUAUGCCUUUGUAUAUCUAUUUGAUUUUUUGCCUUACUUGCACGGUAAUCACAGUAUAUCAUUACAGAAAUGGUCAGUUUUUCAACUUUUAACUCAAACUUUAAUACAUUAUCUAUUAGAAUGAUUAUGGAUUUUCUACAAAUUUGAAAUUGUAUAAAAACAUUUGUCAAAUUUAUAUCAACUCAAAUGAUAUAUAUUAUUUAUUAAUGAAUCCAUGUUUUUCUUUCAAAGCCACUUAUUGAAGUCAUAUUAGUGAUUUUUUAAGUUGUGGUCUUUGGAGUCAUAGGACUGUGGUUCAAGUCCUGUCCCCUCCUAAGAACAAUAUUAAUUUUAAUGAAGUUACGUACUAAAUAAAAUGGAGAUUAUAAAAGUAAAUCCUUCAUUUGGAUUUGAGAAGAUCAAAUAAUGCAAUUUUGGUGAAGUACUUAUUUAUACAUAUAUCGGUGUUAUAUGUGUAUAAUGUAAUAUUUUGUGUAUCUUAUUUUGAAAGCCAAACAUGGAGGCACUCAUAUAAAAUGCAGAUAUAUAUGUGUAUAAAUAUGUGUGUGUGUGUGUAUAUAUAUAUU